UACAGAGGGUGCGAGCGUUAAUCGGAAUUACUGGGCGUAAAGCGUGCGCAGGCGGUUUCUUAAGUCAGAUGUGAAAGCCCCGGGCUUAACCUGGGAACUGCGUUUGAAACUGGGAGACUUGAGUGUGGCAGAGGGGGGUGGAAUUCCACGUGUAGCAGUGAAAUGCGUAGAUAUGUGGAGGAACACCGAUGGCGAAGGCAGGUCUCUGGGCCACUACUGACGCUGAGAAGCGAAAGCAUGGGGAGCGAACAGG
rnacentral:rRNA from 1 species